rnacentral:rRNA from 1 species
UACAGAGGUCCCAAGCGUUGUUCGGAUUCAUUGGGCGUAAAGGGUGCGUAGGUGGCGCCGUAAGUCGGGUGUGAAAUUUCGGAGCUUAACUCCGAAACUGCAUUCGAUACUGCGGUGCUUGAGGACUUGGAGAGGAGACUGGAAUUCAUGGUGUAGCAGUGAAAUGCGUAGAGAUCAUGAGGAAGACCAGUGGCGAAGGCGGGUCUCUGGGCCGAUACUGACGCUGAGGAGCGAAAGCGUGGGGAGCGAACAGG